rnacentral:rRNA from 1 species
UGGGGAAUUUUGGGCAAUGGGCGCAAGCCUGAUCCAGCCAUGCCGCGUGCGGGAAGAAGGCCUUCGGGUUGUAAACCGCUUUUGUCAGGGAAGAAAUCUUCUGAGUUAAUACCUCGGGAGGAUGACGGUACCUGAAGAAUAAGCACCGGCUAACUACGUGCCAGCAGCCGCGGUAAUACGUAGGGUGCAAGCGUUAAUCGGAAUUACUGGGCGUAAAGCGUGCGCAGGCGGUUUUGUAAGACAGAGGUGAAAUCCCCGGGCUCAACCUGGGAACUGCCUUUGUGACUGCAAGGCUUGAGUGCGGCAGAGGGGGAUGGAAUUCCGCGUGUAGCAGUGAAAUGCGUAGAUAUGCGGAGGAACACCGAUGGCGAAGGCAAUCCCCUGGGCCUGCACUGACGCUCAUGCACGAAAGCGUGGGGAGCAAACAGGAUUAGAUACCCUGGUAGUCCACGCCCUAAACGAUGUCAACUGGUUGUUGGGAAGGUUCCUUCUCAGUAACGUAGCUAACGCGUGAAGUUGACCGCCUGGGGAGUACGGCCGCAAGGUUGAAACUUAAAUGAAUUGACGGGGUCAUAGCUGUUUCCUG